ACCUGGCUGGCUCGGUAUGUAGAGCAUGUGACUCUUGAUCUCAGGGUUGUGAGUUCAAGCCCCAUGUUGGGCA
rnacentral:tRNA from 1 species